rnacentral:lncRNA from 1 species
AAAAGAAAAGAAAAGAAAACCCACCACCAACAAACUAAAAGAUUAGACCUGCUUAUCGCUCUUUCUGUGCAGAUUCUAUUCCCAAGUUCAUCUUACAACCACAAAAGGCGAGUCUCGGGAAGUCUGCACAUGACGCCACUGCUCUCUGAGAGAUCGACAACUUGGGGGAUUGCAGCCUACAGCUCGCACCUUAAGAGAAACCUAACGCCGAAAACCGUAAGGCCACCGGACAAGCAAGCAGGAACCCCAACCACUAUUUCAACCUGCAGAAUCCAUAGCAACCGACAGCGGCUCUCCACCUCUAGCCCCACCCCUUCCGCUCGGGAUUGCUUCCGCUUCCAGUCGGCUCACAGCACUGGUGUAAGGCGCUUUGCAUUGUGGGAACUCCUUCUCUUCUCGCUCCCCGGCCAUCUUGGCGGCUGCUUUUGGCUGGGGUCCGUCGCACACCUACGGCAGGAAGAUGGUGGCCGCAAAGAAGACGAAAAAAUCUCUGGAGUCCAUCAACUCUAGACUCCAACUUGUUAUGAAAAGUGGAAAAUACGUGCUGGGUUACAAGCAGACACUGAAGAUGAUCAGACAGGGGAAAGGGAAAUUGGUCAUCCUCGCCAACAACUGCCCGGCUUUGAGGUAAUGGACAGAACCCGGGCGUGCGUCGCUGGUUGCCAAUUAAUUGUGAAGGGGUGUCAAAAAGUGCAAACUUGUAGUCUUUGUAGCAUGAGUUUUAUUUUAUGUUGAACUUGUUCUCCAAGGGACCCUUGGGAGAAUGAUUACUGUUGGUAGGGUGUUUGGCUGUUGAUUCCUUCCCUUGUCAUGUGCUCUUCUGUAAGCUUAUCUUUGGGGGAAAAUGUAAGACCUGGGUUGAACAGGAGGAUUAAAAACCACAGAACCUCCAAGUUUGAGGCAAACACAGACGCAUAAUUUGUCCAUGUAUUUUGUGUCUUGCAAUUUUUGAUGGGUUUUUUUAGCUUAAAGAAACUUUAAAGGUGCUUUUCUGUGUGCAUUUACUUUAGUGUGCAAAUCCAAGUAAGAAAGCUUCAGGCUGGGCUAUGAAGUUGCAUGGGUGUCAUUGAAUCACCUGAUUUGGUGCCAUGUGUCAAUUCUCUGAGUUAAAGUUUAUUACUACUUGUUUUUAAGUUUUUAUUUUCAGACAAGGUAGGGUCUUACUAAAUUGCUUAGGCUGGGCUCAAACUUGUGAUCCUCCUGCUUCAGCCUCCAGAGUGGGAUUAUAGGCAUAUGCUUAGGUCAAGGUUUAUUCUUGACUUACUAUUUUGAGGUGUUGUGUUGUUUUUUUUUUUUUUUGGUACCGGGGAUCAAACUCAGGUCCUUGCGCUUUCAAGGCAGGCAGCAGAACCACCGAGCUAAAUCCCCAGCCCAGACUUACUAUUUUGAAUUUGAACCUAGUAGACAUAUUGUUAAUGAGCUAAAGAAACUUGGAGCAUGUGAACCAUGUGAUGGGUUCUUUAUUCUUUGGAUUUCCUAUGACAAUGUAUAACCUACUCAGAAUUUUAUAUAGGCUGUCUCUACUUACCAGCAGUCCCUGACCUGUUUUUGUUAUAAUUCCAAACCAUUCUUAAAGGGUUUUUUUUUUUUUUUU